UACGUAGGGUGCGAGCGUUAAUCGGAAUUACUGGGCGUAAAGCGUGCGCAGGCGGGCUUUUAAGCCAGACGUGAAAUCCCCGGGCUUAACCUGGGAAUGGCGUUUGGGACUGGAAGUCUGGAGUGCGGCAGAGGAGACUGGAAUUCCCAGUGUAGCGGUGAAAUGCGUAGAUAUUGGGAGGAACACCAGUGGCGAAGGCGGCUACCUGGACCGGUUCUGACGCUGAUGCGCGAAAGCGUGGGGAGCAAACAGG
rnacentral:rRNA from 1 species